AUAAUCUGCUCCAGGUUGUUGUACAAAGCUUUCUUCCUCUGGACUUGUGAGAGUUGGUGCAUGGGCAUUGAGAAUGGUGAGAGUUGCUGACAGAAAAGCAGAACUUUAUUAUGUGUUCAAAAUUCCGGUGGUUAAAGUUGGAUGUUCUUCAGCAGAACAGCUUUGAUUGCAAAACAUUUGUUCUAAAAUGCCUUGGCCUUCUCCCCAUGUGUGGACUCAAAGGAGGAGAACAUAAGAUGAAUAUCCCCUUUCCCAGUACUCCAAGUUAAAUUUCUUGCUGCUGUGAAUAAAAAUAAACAAAUAUUUGAAUUCUCA